rnacentral:rRNA from 1 species
ACGGAGGCAGCAGUGGGGAAUAUUGCACAAUGGGGGAAACCCUGAUGCAGCGACGCCGCGUGAGUGAAGAAGUAUUUCGGUAUGUAAAGCUCUAUCAGCAAGGAAGAAAAUGACGGUACUUGACUAAGAAGCCCCGGCUAACUACGUGCCAGCAGCCGCGGUAAUACGUAGGGGGCAAGCGUUAUCCGGAUUUACUGGGUGUAAAGGGAGCGUAGACGGCAUAGCAAGUCUGAAGUGAAAUGCAUGGGCUCAACCCAUGAACUGCUUUGGAAACUGUUAAGCUAGAGUGCAGGAGAGGUAAGUGGAAUUCCUAGUGUAGCGGUGAAAUGCGUAGAUAUUAGGAGGAACACCAGAGGCGAAGGCGGCUUACUGGACUGUAACUGACGUUGAGGCUCGAAAGCGUGGGGAGCAAACAGGAUUAGAUACCCUGGUA